AACGCACGAGACCUGCGGACCUGCGGAAGGAUCAUUAAAAAGAGUGUGUACCCCUCUGUAAAAUGAGUGGGUUACCUCCCGUCCUUUGUUGACCUCUUAGGAGGUUAUUUUGAACUUUCUGCUUCGGUGGGGUUAAACCUACCGGAACACCCUCAAAUUCUUAUCAUUUAAAAAUUGUUCAGUCCGAUUUUUUGUUAAUAAAAACAAAAAACUUUCAACAACGGAUCUCUAGAUCGGAAG
rnacentral:misc_RNA from 1 species